AUGGAUAACUCCUCCGCACACACACUCUACUUCUUCAAUUUUUCCCUGAUCUACAACGCUUUCACCUUAUUCCAUUCUUACGAACGGCGCUGCCUUUUCCUAUCUCUGAUGAAAAAGUUCUUCUACGUCUCAAGCUUCAAUCAUCGCGGCUCAAGCUUUUCAAAGCGGCACGAUUUCCCCCACCACCAACGACGCAACUUCAUGCACUCUUAA